rnacentral:piRNA from 1 species
UAGGUAGAUCAGGUUUUCAUGACACUAA